rnacentral:rRNA from 1 species
GACGAACGCUGGCGGCGUGCUUAACACAUGCAAGUCGAACGGAAAGGCCUGCUUUCCCUUGUGGAUUGCGGGUACUCGAGUGGCGAACGGGUGAGUAACACGUGAGUGAUCUGCCCCCAACUUGGGUAUAAGCCUGGGAAACUGGGUCUAAUUCCCGAUAGGACUGCAGGGUGGUGCCUGUGGUGGAAAACGAUUUUCUAGUGGUUGGGGAUGAGCUCGAGGCCUAUCAGCUUGUUGGUGGGGUAAUGGCCUACCAAGGCGGCGACGGGUAGCCGGACUGAGAGGGUGGACGGCCACAUUGGGACUGAGAUACGGCCCAGACUCCUACGGGAGGCAGCAGUGGGGAAUAUUGCACAAUGGGCGGAAGCCUGAUGCAGCGACGCCGCGUGGGGGAUGACGGCCUUCGGGUUGUAAACUCCUUUCGACCGCGAGGAAGCCACCUGGUUGGAAGGGUGGUGACGGUAGUGGUAGAAGAAGCACCGGCUAACUACGUG